AAGACCUUACGCUUUUGGAGCGGCCGAUGUCUGAUUAGCUUGUUGGUGAGGUAAAGGCUUACCAAGGCUUCGAUCAGUAGCUGGUCUGAGAGGACGACCAGCCACACUGGGACUGAGACACGGCCCAGACUCCUACGGGAGGCAGCAGUGGGGAAUUUUGGACAAUGGGGGCAACCCUGAUCCAGCCAUGCCGCGUGAGUGAAGAAGGCCUUCGGGUUGUAAAGCUCUUUCAGCCGGAACGAAACGGUUACGGUUAAUACCCGUGACUACUGACGGUACCGGAAGAAGAAGCACCGGCUAACUACGUGCCAGCAGCCGCGGUAAUACGUAGGGUGCAAGCGUUAAUCGGAAUUACUGGGCGUAAAGCGUGCGCAGGUGGUUUUGUAAGUCAGAUGUGAAKUCCCCGGGCUUAACCUGGGAACU
rnacentral:rRNA from 1 species